rnacentral:rRNA from 1 species
CCCUUAGAUGUUCUGGGCCGCACACGCGCUACACUGAAGGAGGCAGCGUGUACUCCUGGAUCGAAAGAUUUGGGUAACCCGCGAAUCUCCUUCGUGCUAGGGAUUGAGGUUUGCAAUUAUCCUUCAUGAACGAGGAAUUCCCAGUAAGUGCAAGUCAUAAGCUUGCGCUGAUUACGUCCCUGCCCUUUGUACACACCGCCCGUCGCUCCUACCGAUUGAAUGGUCCGGUGAAGCGUUCGGACCGUGGCCUUUGGACGGUUCGCCGUCUGUUGGCUGCGGGAAGUUCGUUAAACCUUAUCAUUUAGAGGAAGGAGAAGUCGUAACA